rnacentral:pre_miRNA from 1 species
UAUAUACUCCCUUCAUCCGAAAAUACUUAUCAUCAAAAUGGAUAAAAAGAGGUGUAUCUAUAACUAAAAUACAUCUAGAUACAUCAUCUUUUAUUCAUUUUGGUGACAAGUAUUUCUGAACGGAGGGAGUAUAUU